CCUAGAGUUGUAGGCUUUGCCUGCUAUCUCUUACCCUUGUCUUUUGAGUACCUUACGUUUCCUCGGUGGGUUCGCCCACCGAUUGGACAAACUUAAACCCUUUGCAGUUGAAAUCAGCGUCUGAAAAAACUUAAUAGUUA
rnacentral:misc_RNA from 1 species